ACUUCCGGUUGAUGCCUCUGGGCGGGCACGCCGGACUUUGCGGAGCUAUGGGCCCGCCCGGACGUGGUGUAUGCUGGAACUUGUAGUCUUUGGUGCUGCCUCCCCUCCUAGAUGGAAUAAAUGUGCUUAAAGAAAAUUACGUAUCUACAAAAAGUACGGUUGACGCUCAUUAUCUGGGAUUUGUAUUUUCAAAUUCACUUACUCGUUAAGGUUUUUUUCUGGUAAGCCCCAAAUCAAUAAUGCGCGCUUUCUGGGGUUACUCCCGGGCAUGCGCAGGGGGAACAUUUGGAGUCUGCAGGGAUUUAAGUUUCCAGCUGUGAUUGAACCAGGCAGAGGCUUCAACUUCUUGGUUCAACUCUCCCUGCUGUAAACAAGAGUCGUUUUCGCAGAUCUAUCCACUGCCACUUUUAACUGCAUUUUUGUGCUUUUUAUUGGUCUUUGCGGUUUAAAAUAGCCCCAAAGCACAGUGCCGAAGUGCUGUCGGGUGUUCCCAAGCGCAAGAAGGCUGUGAUGUGCUUACGGAGAAAAUACGGGUGUUAGACCAGCUCGGUUCAGGCGUGAGUUACAGUGCCGUUGGCCGUGAGUUUAAGGUUAAUGAAUCAACCAUCUGGUGUAUCAAGAAAAAGGAGAAGGAAAUUCGCCGGUCUGUACGUGAGGCCGCUCCAGAAAGCGCUAGAUUGACCUCUCUAGUGCGUGAUUAAGCCAUGGAAAAGAUGCAAAAGCGGCUUAAUUUGUGGAUUCAUGAGAUGACGACCGACCAAAAAAAAAAAAAAAAAAAGAGCAUAAUGGACAGCAUUGUUGUGAGACUGAAAGCCAAAGAAAUCUACUGUCACGUUACCCAGGGUCAGAGAACUGUGAAGCCCUUCUCGGCCAGCGCCGGCUGGCUCGCCCGGGUCAAGCGGCGCUACGGGGUGAAAAAUGUUACCCUCGCAGGAGAGGCGAGUUCUGCAGACCUGGAAGCUGCGGAAGAAUUUAAGAAAUACUGGCUAAGUGUUAUACAGGAGAAAGGUUAUGUGGAAGAGCAGGUUUUCAAUGUCGAUGAGACCGACUUGUUUUACAAGGAUGUUGGCAAACGAACCUAUGUAACGCAAAUGGCCUCUAGAGCCUCUGGCUUUAAGUCAUUCCAAGACCAUGCAACCUUGCUAUUGUGCACCAAUGCCAAGGGUGACUUUAAGUGCAAACCCUUAAUGGUGUACAGAGCCCAAAAUCCACGAGUACUUAAAGGGGAAAACGUGAACCCUAUGCCAGUCCAUUGGAGGUGGAACUAAAAAAGCAUGGAUGAUGUCUGAUUGGUUCCACAAUUGCUUCAUUCCAGAAGUUGAACACUAUCUCCAGGGCAGAAACCUUGCUUUCAAGGUUUUAUUAAUUUUGGAUAAUGCUCCAGUCCACUGCCGUGAAGAAGUUGAAAACGCACACCCCAAUGUAAAAGUUCUUUUUAUGCCUACAAACACUACAUCUUUCAUCCAAUCCCUUAAUCAGGGUAUAAUAAAAGCUUUCAAAGCACAUUAUACUAAAGAGCUUUACACAAAGGCUUGGGAGUCUCUCAAGGCCAAUAAGGAAACCACCAUGAUGGACUAUUGGAAGUCAGUCACUAUAUGCAUCGUUAUUAAUUAUGUUGGCACAGCCUGGGACAGCAUCAAGCCAGCUUCUAUCAAUAACUGUUGGAAAAAUGUUUGGCCUGACUGUGUGAAAAAUUUGGAAGGCUUUGAAGGUAUUACAGAAAAUAUAAAGAACAGUGUCAGAAACAUAAUGCACAUUGCACAGCAAAUAAGCGGAGAAGGCUUUGAGGACAUGAAGGAAGAUGAUGUGGAGGAACUUUUGGCAGAGAAAACAGUAGAACCCACCAAUGAAGACCUGGAUGAGAUGGCGAAACAAGGCACCAGAGUCAGUAGGGAUGAGGAUGGCAACAGUAGUCAGCCCAAGACUCCAAGAAUUCUCCCUCUGACAGCAGCCAAAAUAGCGGAAUGGAAUUCUGCCUUGGAAAAAAUUUUUAAUGACAUGAAGGAGUGUGACCCUAUGCUUGAUUGCAGCCUCAUAUUCAAGCGCCUUGCCUCCACUGCAUUUGCCCCAUACACUGAGAUACUUAAAGAAAUGAGGCAGAGAGCCAAUCAGACAAAGCCAAUGGGAGGGACACCUGCCCACCCUGUCAACAAGUGGCGAUAGCCCAACUCCUAAGGUAGAACUGCCAGAUGUCAAAAUGCCACUCUCUUCCUCUUCUGCAGAAUAAAUUCCACCCAACUCUCCCUUGGUUUUCAUGGAGCAAGCCAAGGUUGAGCUUUACACACCAUCCACUGCCCUUCCACAUCCCGCAGCUCCAUUAACAAUGAAACAUUUUAAUUAUACUCCAAUUUUGGGAUACAGUAAUCAGAAGCAAAUGCAGGUGAGACAUUGAUGACUGCCAUGCUAUUUGUUCCAUACUUUCUAAAAAUUGAGAGAGGUUUUUCUCAACUUAAAGUUGCUUCUCACUGAUACUCUGGACUGGACUGGAUCUAUGUCAUCCAAUCCUUGAGUUAUCUAAAUCAGGGAAUAGAUUAGGCAUGUGAGUAGAGACAUUACAGAAGGCUCUAUAACUAGCAAACUUAAAAAAAAAAACAGCCCAAUCCAUGUAUCAAAUCAAUUUUAGAAUAUUUUUAUCACCCCAAAAAGAAACCCUGCACUCAUUAAUCAUUCCUGUUUUACCUGAUCACCACAUCUGAACAUUCCAUGUAAACGGACUCAUAUAAUGUGUGACUGGCUUCUUUUAUUUUGAGCCACAUCCCUAGCCCUUUUUUAUUUUUUUUUUAAAUUUUGAGAUAGGGUCUCUCAGCAGGUUGCUUACAGCCUCGCUAAAUUGCUGAGGCUGGCAUUGAACCUGCAAUCCUCCUGCCUCAGCCUCCCGACCUGCUGGGAUUAUAGGCAGGCGCCACUACACCUGGCUCUUAGAACCUGACAUUUUCAAAGCUCACCUAGAAGUGUUCAGUCAUGAAGCUUUACCUUUUGAGGAAUUGCCAAAUUGUUUUUCAAAACAGUGGCACCACUUGAUAUUCAUGAGAUCCCAAUUUCCCCACACCCUUGCCAACACCUUGUGUUUUUGACUGCAGGGUAUGCAGUGACAACUGAGUUUUGUUUUUGGCUUGGAUCUCACUAAUAUGUUACUCAAAACCCCUUUUUCAGUUGCCCGGAUCACUGGGAUUACAGGCACCUACCAAUGCCCUGGUUUCUCAUUGUAGUUCUUUUUGGAAACUGAAAAUUCCUCCCCUGCUGAGUCCUGAAUACCCAUAAUCUCAGGGGCUUCCGGUGGAACUAUGUGCAUAUCCUUUGCUCUGCACUCUAGCUGGCUACUAGAAUCAUCCUGUUUCUUGAACUGAGUGGCAGUCACGUAAGUAUAUAUAUGUAAAAAGUUAUCAGGUUACACAUUUAAGGUUUUUGUACUCUAUUGCCUGUUAAACCUAAAUUAAAAAAAAAAUUAGAAUAGGCAGUCCCCUGCCAGACAAUGUACAUCUACAAUGUCAGCAACUGUAGCAGUCAUUUUAUGACCAUGAGGUAAACUACCCAAAUUGGAAUAAUCCAACUUGCUGAAAAUGGCAGAACAGAAAUCUGAUUUAUUAUGUCACCAAGGUCAUUAAAUUAGCCUAAUUUGGAGUUUUUCUUCAGGUAGAUUUAGUAUUGAAAUUAUUAGCUUUUCACACAUUACAUCAAUAUUCAUCCAUCUCAGCACAGAAUCACACAAAUAUUGGUGGUGAUACAUGGCUCACAAUAUGGAAUUAAUGUAUCAAAGGCAUGUGUAAAUACAAUGUAAUCACAUCUUUGAACAAGAAUUUUCCUAUAAAUUAGUAAAAAGUUGAACAUAAAAUAAAGUUCAACAUAUAUGUUAAAUAUUGUUACUAAAAAUACCAAAAACUAAAGUCACACAAUUUUAUUACAAAAGAUUAAACUCAUUAGCCACUAAAUAAGAAAUGCAGUUCCAACUCACAGGAUUUAAAGUAAUUCUUUAUUGAUAAACGUUUACACUUGAAUUAGAAAUGUCAGUAGAAAAAUAAAAUUUAAAUAAUUUUCUAUUGUACAAAGAUUUGAUCCUUUUGACUGUCGCAGUUAGUGAAAUAACCUAAUACAAAAUGUUAUGCUGAUUUGGUCACAACCAGCCUUAUAGAAUGCACAAAAAGAAAUGCAAGUUCACAAAAACUUUCUGCGUGUUGAUCACUGAUGGCACCAAGGCUUCACAUUCCAGGAAAUGGUUCCUCAGGGACAGGAGGCGUGUGCUGCAGUGUAGUAAGAACUUUAUACAAACCAGAGCAGUCAGAAAGGACAUUGGAAUCAAAAGACAACAUACCAUGUAAAAACUUAAAAAGACAUAAGGAAGGAUUUAAAGUUCAUUAUUUGCAUGAACUGUUUCUCACUAGUUUAAACGUUUCAUAAAAAUUAGUAUCCUGCUGCAAAAAAAAAAAAAAGCUAAUAGCACAGAGAAAAAUCUUUCUCAUAAUAUUCAUUAAGCUUUUGUUUAUGAACUUAAGUUCACAAAAUGCCUUUCCCCCAAAAUCCUAUUAAAGAAUCAGGAAAUCAGCUUUAAUGGCUGGGGGCUACCUCCCCACAUUAAAAAACCGUUGGUGGGGACAGUGGAAGCACAGCUAGGGGAAUGGUGGUUACAUCUAUUUCUAAGAAAGUCAGUUGUUGGCAAAAGUUCUCAAAAAACUAUAUAAGGUAAAAUGUUCAACAUAAAUGCCAAUAUUCUUCCAUCUGAGCAACCACCUGUAAAUAAAUCUGUAUUUGAGACAAGGAAAAGAGAAAGAAAAAGGAAGGAAAAGAGAAAACCAAAGUGGAAUACAUUCUUUGUUUAGCAUUCAAAUAGUUUUUCCCUGAAAACAUUUCAAGCUACACAGCACGAUCUAUACAUUUAUUCACAGGAAAAUGCUUCACAUACUGGGGUGGAGGAAACAUUUAGCAAUUUAAAGAUACAACUUAUAUUUGAAGUUUUUAAAGAAUAGAUAAUCAAAUAAGAAACAGAUGCCUAAAUUUCAAAAUGCCUAAAUUUUUGUCUUGGCUCUAAAAAAGGAAAAAAGGAAACUAACAUUUUAAUCAUGGAUCAAUACGUUGAAAAAUUAGAUUUCAGGGGGAAGGAUCCAACUACUGGCCCACAUGUUUGUGACAUAGCCAAAAGAAUGUUUUAGGCAAGAAAAAAGCAUUUUUUCAAUAGAGAUGUUCUAAAACCAUUUCCCAAAAGAAGGGAUAUAAUACCCAUAUUUUUUAAACUGAGGGAUAUUUUCUAAAAUCACAGUUUUUUCAGCUGAAAACUGUAAUCUUUAAAUAUUUGUUGGAAGAAAGAUUUGAGCUUAUUUUUUUGUAGUACUGAGGACUGAACCCAAGAGUGCUCUACCACUGAGCUACCACCCCAGCCUUUUCACUUAUUUGAGACGGGGUCUCAUUAAGUUCUCUGGACAGGACCCAGACUUGUGAUCCUCUUGCCUUAGCCUCCUGAGUCACUGGGAUUACAGGAGUACACCACCAUGCCCAGCUUAGAUUUGAGUUUCUUGUUGGGGAUUUUGAAAGGAAAUUUAGCUGCAUUCAAUUAGUUUUAACAAGCAGUCUAAUUUGUUAAAAGAAAAUGUCCAGUGAAUUUUGUAAUUCCUUUAUAAUUUUUCUCUAUGAAUUCCACCGGCAAAUGUCCUCCUAGCUUCUUCUAAUCAGAAGCCAGAGUGCAUUUUGUUUUAAAUAGAAUAGAUUCAUGUGCAUAUGACCUCGUGGGUUGUCAGCCUUAAUCUCAUAAUGAAAGUUCUCCUUUAAAAAUGUCAGAAUUAAGGAGAGGUAGAGGGGGCAGUGAUACUAGCCAAAUUAUAUUGUUAUAUUGUGUGCACACAUAGGAAUAUGUAACAACAAAUCCCAAUAUUAUGUACAACUAUAAUGCACCAAGAAAAAUGUGGAAGUAAAGAAAGUCAGGGUUAACUAUCAGAAGUUAUUUUGAAAACAGGUAACAACAUUGAUUGUAUUCUACACAAACAGUUUAGGUGGUAAGGAUCAAAUUACUUAAUUUUUGUAGUGUUUUUCCUUUUUAAGGUCAAAGUUUUCAGGCCUUUUAAUAAAAAAGAAAAGCAGUAGGAUAAAAAUUAAAAUAGCUAAAAUUGAGUUUAAAAAACUUGAUUUUUAAUUCUCUUUAAGGGUAUAAUUUUCUUGAAUAGAAGUGUAAAAGGCAGAAUGGGGAUAGAUCUGAAAAUAAAACUUCAGGCACUUAAUGGGAGUAGACACUCAAAAAUACUGCACAAGUGGCUGAAGAGCCACCACCAGGUAAACACAUCAAGACUAAGGAACCAAUAACCACCAAUGCUAUUUUCAGCUGUACUUCUAAAAUUGUCUCAAGUGAUUAAUCCACCCCAGUCACUAAGAAAAUCUAUAGCAGAAUGUUUUAAGUAUCUUAUUUGUGCCUCAGUGUCCAAAGAAUAUUCUAAACAAUCUUGCUUAAAAUUUUCAACUUAGCUGCUUCAGAGGGUAUGUAGAUUUCUAAUUAAACUAAAUAAAAUAAGCCAAAUUAAAAGCAAUAAGAGGGCUGGGGUUGUAGCUCAGUGGUAGAGCACUUGCCUAGCAUGCGUGAGGCACUGUGUUCCAUCCUCAGCACUGCAUAAAAAGUAUUAUGCCCACCCACAAUUUAAAACAAAAAGCAAUAGGAAAAAGUAUAGAAAUCCUUUCUUUCUUUCUUUCUUUUUUUUUUUUUUAAAGUGCUAGCCAGGUGUAAUGGUGCAUUACUGUAGUCCCAGUUUCUCAGGAGGCCCAGGAAGGAGGAUCGCUUGAGCACAGGAGUUUGGGGCCAGAACAUAACAAACCCUCUUUAAAAAAAAAAAAAAAGAAAAAGAAAAAGAAAAAA